rnacentral:rRNA from 1 species
GCAGCACGGAGAGCUUGCUCUCUGGUGGCGAGUGGCGAACGGGUGAGUAAUAUAUCGGAACGUGUCCAAUAAUGGGGGAUAACGAGUCGAAAGAUUCGCUAAUACCGCAUACGCCCUACGGGGGAAAGCAGGGGAUCGUAAGACCUUGCGUUAAUGGAGCGGCCGAUAUCUGAUUAGCUUGUUGGUGAGGUAAAGGCUCACCAAGGCGACGAUCAGUAGCUGGUUUGAGAGAACGACCAGCCACACUGGAACUGAGACACGGUCCAGACUCCUACGGGAGGCAGCAGUGGGGAAUUUUGGACAAUGGGGGCAACCCUGAUCCAGCCAUUCCGCGUGAGUGAAGAAGGCCUUCGGGUUGUAAAGCUCUUUCGCAAGGGAAGAAAACUUAUGAUCGAAUAAAUCAUGAGGUUGACGGUACCUUGAUAAGAAGCACCGGCUAACUACGUGCCAGCAGCCGCGGUAAUACGUAGGGUGCGAGCGUUAAUCGGAAUUACUGGGCGUAAAGCGUGCGCAGGCGGUUUUGUAAGUCGGAUGUGAAAUCCCCGGGCUCAACCUGGGAACUGCGUCCGAAACUGCAAGGCUAGAGUGUGUCAGAGGGGGGUAGAAUUCCACGUGUAGCAGUGAAAUGCGUAGAGAUGUGGAGGAAUACCAAUGGCGAAGGCAGCCCCCUGGGAUAACACUGACGCUCAUGCACGAAAGCGUGGGGAGCNNCAGGAUUAGAUACCCUGGUAGUCCACGCCCUAAACGAUGUCAACUAGUUGUUGGUAGAGUAAAAUCUAUGAGUAACGUAGCUAACGCGUGAAGUUGACCGCCUGGGGAGUACGGUCGCAAGAUUAAAACUCAAAGGAAUUGACGGGGGCCCGCACAAGCGGUGGAUUAUGUGGAUUAAUUCGAUGCAACGCGAAAAACNUUACCUGGNCCUUGACNUGUA